rnacentral:rRNA from 1 species
CGCGUAGGCGGUGGUGCAAGUUGCUGGUCAAAGGCCAAGGCUCAACCUUGGAUUGCUGGCAAGACUGCAUCACUAGAGGAUUGCAGGGGGAAUCGGAAUUCUCGGUGUAGCAGUGAAAUGCGUAGAUAUCGAGAGGAACAUCAGUGGCGAAGGCGGAUUCCUGGGCAAUUCCAGAGCUGAGGCGCGAAAGCCAAGGUAGCAAACG